rnacentral:tRNA from 1 species
GCGCUCGUGGCGGAAUUGGCAUACGCGAUAGCUUGAGGAGCUAUGCUCUUCGGAGCGUGUGGGUUCGAGUCCCACCGAGCGCACCA